GCAAUACUGUGAAACUGCAAUAUUUUUGCUCACGGUUAUCAUACUUUCAGAAUCUGAUACCGGCAUUUGCCUAUAUCACGAUCGUGAGAAAAGACAAGGGAGUUCAUGGAGUGAAUGACAAGAUGACGAGCACCAUGUAAAAAAGGAGCCAACGUUGAACAUGGACCAUGCAAUGAUCUGCAAUGCUAAGGACACCCUGGUGAGCUAGGGUCACAUGACUAUGACCAGCCCUAAGCCUGGACCUUGGGAUGGCUACAUCCAGAAAUUCAUGCAUGGAGUAAUCCUUGGUGUGAAGUGACUCAAAUAAGUGGUACCUGGACUUGUCCCUCUGAUGAUAUCUGCCGCAUUUGGAACCUGACCACCUUCAAGAGGAUGAAGGAGAAUCCAAUGACCAACUACACCUUCAAUCCUAAGAGAUUUUUGAUAAUUCCAUCUCCAGCUUCAUGAGAACGGGUCAUUCAACCUUUUUGUAGCCAUAAAACACAAUAAAGCUAGUAAGUUUUAAAACAUAUUUUACAAUAGCAUUGAAAAUAUAACAAUCUAUUUUCUUGAAGCUGUCUCAAGCAGGGGUGGGGAAACAUUCAUAUCAGCGGUCAUUUCGGCCAUUGUUCCCCACGCCACAAUUUUAACGCGUAGGCUUCAGGAUUUUACUUCAUAUUUGUCCAAAUAAUUUAACAGCGUCUGCUUUAUCCUCGACAGGAGAAGUCGGUGAUUGGAAAAGUCAUUUUACCCCUGACUAGUCAGCAGUCAACCUUCCAUUCAAAACAGUUCUAAUACGUGUUUCAAUGGCUUCUAUUUCACUUGAGUUAUUACGCUGUUGUUGCUUGUUAUAACCAUAGUAUAACUUCACAGUACAAUUAAAUCUCCAAAUAUUUAGAGAUACGAGACCAUUUGUUUCAUGGGUGAGGCAAAGCUAGCUAAAUACGCUACACAGGAAUGAGUUGUGCUGGUUUCUGAAGCAAGCAACUUCCAGAUCUAACAACAACAACAAAAAAUCUCCCUGUAAACGUGAUGUAAUUCAGUACAGUGAAGAGCACUUAGUAUCCAA